rnacentral:rRNA from 1 species
UAGCUUUAAGGUUUUAUUUAAAGUUUUACCUGCCCGGUGAGUAUUUAACGGCCGCAGUACUUUGACUGUGCUAAGGUAGCAUAAUAAAUUGGCUUUUAAUUAAAGUCGGGUAUGAAAGGAGUUUCGAAGAGUGACUGUCUUGCAAAUAUUUUAUUUUAAAUUAUUUAAUGAGUGAAAAUACUCAUAAAUUUUACAUUAGACGAGAAGACCCUUAGAGUUAUAAUUAAAAUGAAUUUUUUUUCAUGUUUCAUUUUUGUUGGGGCAACAAAGACUGGAUUUAACCGUCAAAAAGUUAUUACACAUAACCAAUUUAUUUAAAAGGAAAUAAACUACCUUAGGGAUAACAGCAUAAUUAAUUUUUAGAUUGUGACCUCGAUGUUGGAUUAAGGACUUUUUUUACUAGCCGUAAAUAAAGAUGGUUCUGUUCGAACUAUAAUACCUU